AACGUAGGUACCGAGCGUUAUCCGGAUUUACUGGGCGUAAAGCGCGUUCAGGCGGUUUGGCAAGUCGGGCAUGAAAUCUCUCGGCUCAACCGGGAGAGGUUGUCCGAUACUUCCAGACUUGAGGGCAGUAGAGGGUGGUGGAAUUCCGGGUGUAGUGGUGAAAUGCGUAGAUAUCCGGAGGAACACCAGUGGCGAAAGCGGCCACCCGGACUGCACCUGACGCUGACACGCGAAAGCUAGGGGAGCGAACGGG
rnacentral:rRNA from 1 species